UUUUUAGGCCACUAAAAGAGUUUUGUGACUCAAACGGUGAGUUGACCGCCCUGCAUUGAACCUUCCUCUUUCGAAUGAGCCCUCACCCAGUCUCAAAUAUUCUCGUAUAAGGACGAAAAACGAAAAAUCCCGGACCCCUUUUUAGGCCCAUUUUUGCCGGUAAAGUCACCUCACAGCAUUACCCGUGUCUACCCCCUUAAGCUGGGUACAGAGGAACGCGCCGCGGUUGCAACGCGGCAUUACAAAGUGUGUCCGGUGUUUCGUGUUUACCACGAGCACGCGCCGCGCAUGGAACAAACCAUGAAUUUCAACGCACAUUUCCCAUCAGUUCAUUGUUUUCGGUACCUAGGCUCGAACGCGGCAAACCCGAAGAAAACCGUCCACACUGCGGCAUGGAAUCCUCUUGUGUUCGCGCAAAAGAUCGACAGAAAUUGGUUCGUUGCGAGGCAUUACAGCAUUGCCGCGAGACAUAUUCGCGCUACUAUCCAAACGAAUGAAUAUUUGCCCAAAUACGGUCGUUCCAUGCCGCGUUGCAGCCGCGGCGCGCUCGUCUGUUCCCAGUUUUAUGCUAUAUUUUAUGGAGUAGGAGUACCGAAAAUAUUUGAAAUGCUGUUGUAAUAUUACUACAGUAAUGUCAUUCCCUGUUUUGUGGAUCCAAACACUGGCGCGUAUUCUCAAAAUAUUGAAUUCUCAUGGUGGGGCUUAUGACCCGUUCGAGUAGAGGUGGAAUUAAACAAGAUACAUACUUUAGUUGAUCAUCUAUGUGAAUAUUUGUGGCGAUAUGAAGUAAAUAAAAACCGAGGGGGUCCAUUUUAUCAAUUAUUGGAAGAUAUUAAAUAUGUUUAUAAUGGAAACUAAUGAAGAACGUAUACAGAAUACUGUUGUAAUCUUAUUCUACGGGGUGUCGCUAAUGCAGGAAAUUACACUAAAAUGGUAAAACGUUUCUCGCAAAAUUUUAAGUCUUAACUUUCGAGUCGCCAAAAAUCCUUCUCGCAAAUACCGUUUUUAUGCAAAAUGAAGCUAUUUGCGAAAUCUUAGACAAAUCAGGUUGGACAGGUUUUCGGAAACUUUGCCAAAAUUUUUAUUUUUUAAGUAUCAAAGAAUACAGUAUUGGUUUAUUUGAUUUUUUAUCACGUUGACUGUCAUACUGAAAUUAUUGGAAAAUUUAAUUAGGUAAUACUUACAUAUAUUUUUAUCUAUUGCUUACACCAGUGUUCGCGAACAGCGAAUUCGUCAGCGAACACUGCUAAGGAGGCGGUUCACCAAAUGGCCUGUUCGCGAGCUCAAACGGUGUCUGGAAACGUUGUAACACGUUUCCGUUGAAUUUGACUAUUAUACAUCAGCCAGUGAACAAUUGUGCACUCGUUUGUUUUCUAUUCGCAAGCUACAUCUGAGCUCCUGUGUGAAUUCGACUCGCAAACAGCUUGUGAACUGUAUACAUACAUAAUACAAGUAUUUCUAAUUAGAUAAAUAGCGAAUUUAUAACAAUGUUAGUGAUAGAUUUUUAUUUAAUUUUGUAUUUCAUAUUGUUUCGUAUUUCAUUUUCUAAGUUAUACACUCAACUUUAAAUUAAUAUCUUUGUAUAAAAGAAGUUUGGGUCACGAUUGAUUCAGGCUCAGCUGUUCAUCGGGUUAAACCCUUAUAUAGUGUGUCCCGCGUAACUGGAAACACUCCAUUAUUUCCUAAACUAUUAAAGAUACAAGAAAUUGCUUUGGUGGGCAUUGCACGGUUAGAGGGGGUAACAUUUUGACGUAAACAAAUUUUUUUUUGCAUUAUUAUUUACAAAAAUAUAAUGGCAAGGUUUGAUUUUUUAAAUGAAACUAUAUAUUUUUUUUUUCGAUCAUUUGAUAGUGUUUUUGAAGUCGAAUUCAUUGAGCUUGCAUGUAUACACUUGAUUUUCAUUUGUUUUCGAGAUAUUGCGCUAACAAAUUUGGAGAUUUUUCACGGGAAAAAUUCACUUCAAUGGGAAAUAUCAGCAGGGAUCCUGUUCGCGCGUGAAGUGCCACGUGUUAAGCAGUAUCGCUUGAAAUGGAUACCAUGGGCGGCCAGCAGGACGACAAGUCCAAACUUUUAAAUUAAUUUUUUAAGACUCUCUUCAUGGGCCGCCGUCCAAGGGUUAAACAUCGUCCACAUAUGAAUGACAUGGCAGUCAACGUACCCGGUUACACCCGACGAAUGAUUUUCACUAAAUGGGAAAUUUGUCAUUUCUACUAUUUUACCUUUUAUAAAUUAAAUCCUCAAGAAGCUUACUACAUGGCUAUAUCUUCAUGUUUGUUGAUAAAUCGGCCUCUGUCGAUAUAGGUACAACACCGAGGGAAAUUCUCUGAAUACGGGUAUCCAUCUUUACUUUCACAGAUAGUCCUACUCAUUGUCAACUUAGAAAAAAAAGAAAAAGAA